GUGUGUGAAGAAGGCCUUCGGGUUGUAAAGCACUUUGUCCGGAAAGAAACCUCUGCCCUAAUACGGCGGGGGGAUGACGGUACCGGAAGAAUAAGCACCGGCUAACUACGUGCCAGCAGCCGCGGUAAUACGUAGGGUGCAAGCGUUAAUCGGAAUUACUGGGCGUAAAGCGUGCGCAGGCGGUUCGCUAAGACAGAUGUGAAAUCCCCGGGCUUAACCUGGGAACUGCAUUUGUGACUGGCGGGCUAGAGUAUGGCAGAGGGGGGUAGAAUUCCACGUGUAGCAGUGAAAUGCGUAGAGAUGUGGAGGAAUACCGAUGGCGAAGGCAGCCCCCUGGGCCAAUACUGACGCUCAUGCACGAAAGCGUGGGGAGCAAACAGGAUUAGAUACCCUGGUAGUCCACGCCCUAAACGAUGUCAACUAGUUGUCGGGCCUUCAUUGGCUUGGUAACGUAGCUAACGCGUGAAGUUGACCGCCUGGGGAGUACGGUCGCAAGAUUAAAACUCAAAGGAAUUGACGGGGACCCGCACAAGCGGUGGAUGAUGUGGAUUAAUUCGAUGCAACGCGAAAAACCUUACCUACCCUUGACAUGUACGGAAUCCUGCUGAGAGGUGGGAGUGCCCGAAAGGGAGCCGUAACACAGG
rnacentral:rRNA from 1 species